rnacentral:rRNA from 1 species
CACGUGAGCAACCUGGCUCUAAGAGGGGGACAACAGUUGGAAACGACUGCUAAUACCGCAUAACGUAUCGGGAUGGCAUCUUCCUGAUACCAAAGAUUUUAUCGCUUAGAGAUGGGCUCGCGUCUGAUUAGAUAGUUGGCGGGGUAACGGCCCACCAAGUCGACGAUCAGUAGCCGGACUGAGAGGUUGAACGGCCACAUUGGGACUGAGACACGGCCCAGACUCCUACGGGAGGCAGCAGUGGGGGAUAUUGGACAAUGGGGGCAACCCUGAUCCAGCGACGCCGCGUGAGGGAAGAAGGUUUUCGGAUUGUAAACCUCUGUUGACGGA